ensembl:Y_RNA Y_RNA Y RNA
GGCUGAUCCAAGUGCAGUAAUGUUUACGACUAAUUGAUCAUAACCAGUUACAAAUUUCUUUGUUACUUCUUCAUUCCCUCUGCUUCACUUGGCUAGCCUUUA